rnacentral:rRNA from 1 species
GACGAACGCUGGCGGCGUGCUUAACACAUGCAGGUCGAACGGAAAGGCCCUGCUUUUGUGGGGUGCUCGAGUGGCGAACGGGUGAGUAACACGUGAGUAACCUGCCCUUGACUUUGGGAUAACUUCAGGAAACUGGGGCUAAUACCGGAUAGGAGCUCCUGCUGCAUGGUUGGGGUUGGAAAGUUUCGGCGGUUGGGGAUGGACUCGCGGCUUAUCAGCUUGUUGGUGGGGUAGUGGCUUACCAAGGCUUUGACGGGUAGCCGGCCUGAGAGGGUGACCGGCCACAUUGGGACUGAGAUACGGCCCAGACUCCUACGGGAGGCAGCAGUGGAGAAUAUUGCACAAUGGGCGGAAGCCUGAUGCAGCAACGCCGCGUGCGGGAUGACGGCCUUCGGGUUGUAAACCGCUUUCGCCUGUGACGAAGCGUGAGUGACGGUAAUGGGUAAAGAAGCACCGGCUAACUACGUG